CCCAGAUGGCGUGGUCUACAGCACACCUAGGUUGUAUGGCGUGGACUCUUGCUCCCGGGCUACGAACAGCUCUUCACUGCAGGCAACUGGGCUACCUAAUGAUGACAGAAUCUCAGAGGCAGAGGCCUCUUCUCAGGUAGCUCGGAACCCCUCCAUAAGAGCUGCAAAGUAAAGCACUGUCAGAAGAAUUUAAUGCACACGUGACAUGAAGAAGACUUUGUAGAACAAGAGGGACAGGAAGUUGGGAUAACAAUAUAUCUACAGUCAUCAGGAGGCUUAAAAAUGUAAAGCCACGGUUCCUGCAAAAGGAAUGGGCAGAGUAGAAAACAAAACCCAGAGCAAGAUGCAAAGAAGGACCGGCCAUUCUGAAGAGGUGGGGACAAGUCACGCAGACUCCUGGCUGGGCUGACCCGUCACAGGCACCUGGUAGAACAGGCAGCCAUCUGUCUUUCUUUCCACCCCGUGGAUGGUUUGACGAGCCUGCACAUUUCAUCUUUUCUCCUACUCUCGUGGCCCCUCGGUAGGGGUAUAAUAUGGCAGCAGAGCGGCAGCCUGUCCUUAUCUAAGGACUGGAGCUUGCUCCUGGCUCCCACGCUGUUUCCCUGAGCAGAGCCUCUUCCUGCCCGUCCGUCCGUUCCUUCCCCGGCUGCACAGAGCUGGGGAUGCUCAUCCGGGAGCAGGAAAUGAGGACAUUCUUGUGUUUUUCUGCAAUUAGUCUUCUGAAGGGAAAACACAGCAAAACAAGAAAGCAAGCUGGAUGUUUAGAGAGAGCCUCAAGAGUUUAAAGACGUGCUGUUUAUGGAGGCCAAAGAAGAAAGGUGGAGGCUGGGCUGGUGACGUAGCUUAGCGGGAAAGCCUCGGCCUCCCAUGUGCAAGACCCAGGGUUCCAUCUUCAGGACCAUAAAGAAAAAAAAAAAACAGGGUUUGUGCUGGCAAGCUCGGAUUCUGGAUGGGGGAUGUGUGGGAAUUCAUCGCAGGCUAGCUUACGUGAAUUCUGCACUUCGGAAUGACUUGGAAAGUUUAUUGAAGAUUUCAACCAGAAAAAGCCCCUUGCAAACCGCUGAGUCAACAGCAACCCGUCUUUUGGAGAGAAAACUGUUUUGGGAGAGCCUGGGCCAGCCGGCAGAGGGGACCCAGCCACUCAGGAAUCACCCACCCUGGACAUCACUGGUGUGCCCAGCCGUGACUGGCUCCUGUCUCCCUUCUCUGUUCUGCCCCUGGGGAAGCGGCGGGCUUGAUAAACUUCAAGGUUGUUAAGUUGGAAGGAUGCUGAGCUGGUCUUGGGUGACACCACAGAAAUCUGCAAAUACUACACAUCAGGGCUCUUUCCAACUCCUGGAGAAUCAGCUGUUAAACAUUUACCAGCUGCCACUGUGUGUAAACAAGAUCCGAGAGGAACCAGUUAACCUGCUGACUGAACGCGGAGUUCAGCGUGAAGCUGAGCAGGCACUCAGAUGAGGGGAAUCCUUUUAGGGACCCCUUUGCCAGUGGAAACCGACCAUGACUUAGCAGGUGCCACAAUAGAAGAAGAAUGCUCCCAAUUGCACCAUGAUAUGAUGCUUUUUUAUCAUAACGAUGUCAAGAUGUGUUCUGAUUUUCAAGACCCUACAGUGCGGAAAACAUGGUUUUAAAAAUAUUUAUUAUGAGUCAGGACAUCACAUCUAAGGAAAUCAUUGUGGUGUACCGGUAAACAGUCCACAAAUGACUCUUGGAUAAAGUGAGGUACCUGAUUUGCAGCAGUCUGACUGCCGAGGUAUACGUACUUCUACUGGGACCAAUUUCAAGGCACGGAAAGGACAUCUCUGGAUAUGCAGUUGGAAAGAAAUGCAAAGUAGCACCUCAGUAUGUGAGAUUUCUAUUAACCCGUGAGCAAUGCUGGUUAGUAACCUCUAGAGAAAGCAUAGUUAUAAAAGUAUUAGAAAAUUGUAAGUUUUGAGAAUUUAUUAGCUUUGCUUUUAAUGUAUGUUAAAAAUUGUAAGUAUAUAUCAUUUAGUUUUUUUGUUUUGUUGUAUACUGGGGAUUGAACUCAGGGUCACUCGACCACUGAGCCACAUCCCCAGCCCUAUUUAGAAUUUUAUUUAGAGGGGUCUCACUGAGUUGCUUAGCACCUUGCUUUUGCUGAGGCUGGCUUUGAACUCAAGAUCCUUCUGUCUCAGCCUCCUGAGAGGCUGGGAUUAUAGGUGGGCACCACUGAGCCUGGCCUCUUUUAGUUUUUAAAAUGACUGUUUCACAUCCCGCUAGAAAAAUUCCUAAAUUCAGCUUGCACAAGUCAAUAUCUGCUGGGCCUAACCUACCAUUGGGUUUAUGCCUUUGUAGUGAUUUUAUUGUCUUUUUAGUGUAUUAUUAAUAAACUUUUUUUUUUCAAUCCACUGCUCUA